rnacentral:rRNA from 1 species
AUUGAACGCUGGCGGCAGGCCUAACACAUGCAAGUCGAACGGUAACAGAGGGAAGCUUGCUUCCUUGCUGACGAGUGGCGGACGGGUGAGUAAUGUCUGGGGAUCUGCCUGAUGGAGGGGGAUAACCACUGGAAACGGUGGCUAAUACCGCAUACGUCGCAAGACCAAAGUGGGGGACCUUCGGGCCUCAUGCCAUCAGAUGAACCCAGAUGGGAUUAGCCAGUUGGUGAGGUAACGGCUCACCAAAGCGACGAUCCCUAGCUGGUCUGAGUGGAUGACCAGCCACACUGGAACUGAGACACGGUCCAGACUCCUACGGGAGGCAGCAGUGGGGAAUAUUGCACAAUGGGCGCAAGCCUGAUGCAGCCAUGCCGCGUGUAUGAAGAAGGCCUUAGGGUUGUAAAGUACUUUCAGCGGGGAGGAAGGGUGUGAGUUUAAUACGCUCAUGCAUUGACGUUACCCGCAGAAGAAGCACCGGCUAACUCCGUGCCAGCAGCCGCCGUAA